rnacentral:rRNA from 1 species
GACCCGACACAAGGACGCCGCCUGGUGGAUGGCUCGGCUUGGGCGCUGACGAAGGCCGUGACAAGCUGCGAUAAGCCCCGGGUAGGCGCAUGUAGCCGUUGAUCCGGGGAUCGCCGAAUGGGACUUCCUGCCAGCGGUAAACCGCUGGCGCUCCGGGCACGGAGCGGGAACCCCCCGAAUUGAAGCAUCUAAGUAGGGGGAGGAAAAGAAACCAAUAGGGAUUCCCUGAGUAGGGGCGACCGAAAAGGGAGUAGGGCAAACCGAACCCGUCGUGGAAACACGGCGGGGAUGUGGAGUUGCAGGGCCCGGCCACCGCCUCUUCAAGGAAGUCGAAGUGGCCUGGAACGGCCCGCCGUAGAGGGUGAUAGCCCCGUAGACGUAACUUGAAAGGCGCUGGGCUGGGUCCCCUGAGUACCACGGGUUGGAUAUCUCGUGGGAAGCUGGGAGGCAUCAACUUCCAACCCUAAAUACGUCCCAAGACCGAUAGCGCACCAGUACCGUGAGGGAAAGCUGAAAAGUACCGCGGGAGCGGGGUGAAAAGAGCCUGAAACCAGGCGGUUAGAGACGUGCAUGGCCCAAAAGGAUAGAUCCUCCUCGAAGGAACCCACGGCGACGGGUAGUACGAGAGGAGGGGACCAGGGUCAUGCGCUCCGUCCUGAAUCACGGGCCGGGGAGUUCAUGGCUGUGGCGAGCCUAAGGGGGUCAGCCCUGAAGGCGCAGGGAAACCGACAUGCCCGCAACCGGUCAGCCGGUGAGGGGCGGGGUCCGAAAAGGGCCUGGAGUCACAGCCAUGAGACCCGAAACCAGGCGAUCUAGCCCUGGGCAGGGUGAAGCCGGGGGAACCCGGUGGAGGCCCGAAAAGGUUCUGACGUGCAAUUCGUUCUCAUGACCUGGGGCUAGGGGCAAAAGACCCACCAAGCCUGGUGAUAGCUGGUUCCCCCCGAAGAAGCCCGCAGGCUUGCCCAGCGGGAGGUAGCUGGCAGGGUAGAGCACUGAUUGGGAAGUAAGGGGCGCUUAGCCUCGCUUCCCUCUCAAACUCCGAACCUGUCAGCGCCGUAGAUCGCUGGAGGCGGGUUCUAGGGGAUAAGCUCCUAGGCCGAGAGGGGAACAACCCAGACUGGGGUUAAGGCCCCUAAGUGCCAGCUAAGUGUUAACGAAAGGGCGUCCGCCACCUAAGACAGUGGGGAGGUAGGCUUAGAAGCAGCCACCCUUUAAAAAGUGCGUAACAGCUUACCCACCGAGGUGGCGGGCACCGAAAAUGGACGGGGCUAAGCUGGCCGCCGAUACCCCAGGGCACGGCCUGUGGCCGUGAUCCGGUAGGGGGGCGCGUCGGCUGGGUAGAAGCCGGGCCGUGAGGUCCGGUGGACCGGCCGAUGUUGCAGAUCCCGGCGGUAGUAACAGCGUUAGUCGGGUGAGAAUCCCGACCACCGGAGGGGCAAGGGUUCUUCGGCAAUGCGUCGUCAGCCGAGGGUUAGUCGGUCCUAAGGCUACGCGUAACACGCAGUAGCCGAAAGGGAAGCCGGUUUAUAUUCCGGCACCACGGGGGUACGUGCGGCGACGCAAGCCUCACUCCUGCCGCUUCGGGGUAGGCUGAGCAGGGUUGCCGCCCUGUUUAAGCGUAUAAGCCUAGGGAGAGCCGUAAUGGCGAGAACUAGGCGAAAGCGUGAAUAGCCCUCCUUUUUGGAGGGUUCAGCUGAGCCCCGGAGCCAGUGAAAAGGGAGUGGGGAAGGAUCCCCCGUGACCGUACCAAGAACCGACACAGGUGCCCCUAGGUGAGAAGCCUAAGGUGUGUCGGGUCCAACCCAGGCAAGGGAAAUCGGCAAAUUGGCCCCGUAACUUCGGGAGAAGGGGUGCCUGGGAUCCCCAGUUUAACUGGGGAUGCUAGGUCGCAGUGACAAGGGGGGCCGGACUGUUUAAUAAAAACACAGCUUCCCGCUAGCCCGAAAGGGUAUGUACGGGAAGUGAGUCCUGGCCAGUGGCGGUCCGUGAAAGCCGGGUUCAACCGGCCGAAGCGCCGCUAAACGCCGGGAGUAACUCUGACUCUCUUAAGGUAGCCAAAUGCCUUGCCGGAUAAGUACCGGCGUGCAUGAAUGGGUUAACUAGGUCCCCACUGUCCCUGCCUGGGGCCCGGUGAACCCACCUCCUGGAGAACGGUCCAGGGACCCCCAACGGGGAGAGAAGACCCUGUGGAGCUUUACUGCAGCCUGUACCUGAGGUAUGGUUAGAAAUGCAGAGCGUAGGCGGGAGCCGUCGAUCCCAGCCUCUCCGGGGGCUGGGGGAGGC